UACAGAGGUCUCGAGCGUUGUUCGGAUUCAUUGGGCGUAAAGGGCGCGUAGGCGGCGGGGUAAGUCUGGUGUGAAAUCUCGGAGCUCAACUCCGAAAUUGCACUGGAUACUGCUCUGCUAGAGGGCUGGAGAGGAGAUCGGAAUUCACGGUAUAGCAGUGAAAUGCGUAGAUAUCGUGAGGAAGACCAGUGGCGAAGGCGGAUCUCUGGACAGCUCCUGACGCUGAGGCGCGAAGGCUAGGGGAGCAAACGGG
rnacentral:rRNA from 1 species